AAUUUAUGAUGAUAAAACAAACCAUUGUGUUAUGUGAUAGGCACGCGACUUCGUUUUGAUAGUUGUACUGCCUUUUCAUGAUUUCUUGAGGCAUUUGUCUGAUCUU
rnacentral:snoRNA from 1 species